GCAUUAGUAGCUCAGAAUCAGAGCGUCGGUCUUGUAAGCCGAAGGCCGGAGGUUAAAAUCCCCCCUACUGCU
rnacentral:tRNA from 1 species